rnacentral:rRNA from 1 species
UACGUAGGGUGCAAGCGUUUAAUCGGAAUUACUGGGCGUAAAGCGUGCGCAGGCGGUUAUGCAAGACAGAGGUGAAAUCCCCGGGCUCAACCUGGGAACUGCCUUUGUGACUGCAUGACUAGAGUACGGUAGAGGGGGAUGGAAUUCCGCGUGUAGCAGUGAAAUGCGUAGAUAUGCGGAGGAACACCGAUGGCGAAGGCAAUCCCCUGGACCUGUACUGACGCUCAUGCACGAAAGCGUGGGGAGCAAACAGG